UACGUAGGGGGCGAGCGUUGUCCGGAUUUAUUGGGCGUAAAGAGCGUGUAGGCGGCUUUGCAAGUCCGUUGUGAAAACUCGAGGCUCAACCUCGAGACGCCGGUGGAAACUGCAAAGCUAGAGUCCGGAAGAGGAGAGUGGAAUUCCUGGUGUAGCGGUGAAAUGCGCAGAUAUCAGGAAGAACACCCGUGGCGAAGGCGGCUCUCUGGGACGGUACUGACGCUGAGACGCGAAAGCGUGGGGAGCGAACAGG
rnacentral:rRNA from 1 species